rnacentral:rRNA from 1 species
CUACGGGGGGCAGCAGUGGGGAAUAUUGGACAAUGGGCGCAAGCCUGAUCCAGCAAUGCCGCGUGAGUGAAGACGGCCUUAGGGUUGUAAAACUCCUUCGCUAGGGAAGAUAAUGACUGUACCUAGUAAAGAAGUCCCGGCUAACUCCGUGCCAGCAGCUGCGGUAAUACGGAGGGGACUAGCGUUGUUCGGAAUUACUGGGCGUAAAGAGUUCGUAGGCGGACUGACAAGUUAGAGGUGAAAUCCCAGGGCUCAACCCUGGAACUGCCUUUAAAACUGUCAGUCUAGAGACCGGAAGAGGUUAGGGGAAUACCUAGUGUAGGGGUGAAAUUCGUAGAUAUUAGGUGGAACACCAGUGGCGAAGGCGCCUAACUGGUCCGGUACUGACGCUGAGGAACGAAAGCGUGGGGAGCAAACAGGAUUAGAUACCCCGGUAGUC